UCGUGGGUGAUUGCGAAUCUGAAGGAAGUCGGCGGCAAAUCUCUGGUCUGACGAACAGAAAUCACAUCAGGCAUCGGUUAAGGAUAAGGCUACUAAUCAAGUCAAAGUCCAAUAACUACUCGGAAUUAACCGCCGUAAAUGUGGCAGAUAGAUGGAGAGAAGGAUUGCGUU
rfam:Clostridiales bacterium 38-18 SCNpilot_bf_inoc_scaffold_50, whole genome shotgun sequence.